rnacentral:rRNA from 1 species
GAUGAACGCUGACAGAAUGCUUAACACAUGCAAGUCCACUUGAACUUCGGUUUGGGUGGCGGACGGGUGAGUAACGCGUAAAGAACUUGCCUCACAGAUAGGGACAACAUUUGGAAACGAAUGCUAAUACCUGAUAUUAUGAUUAUAUGGCAUCGUAUAAUUAUGAAAGCUAUAUGCGCUGUGAGAGAGCUUUGCGUCCCAUUAGCUAGUUGGAGAGGUAACGGCUCACCAAGGCGAUGAUGGGUAGCCGGCCUGAGAGGGUGAUCGGCCACAAGGGGACUGAGACACGGCCCUUACUCCUACGGGAGGCAGGAGUGGGGAAUAUUGGACAAUGGACCAAGAGUCUGAUCCAGCAAUUCUGUGUGCACGAUGAAGUUUUUCGGAAUGUAAAGUGCUUUCAGUUGGGAAGAAAAAAAUGACGGUACCAACAGAAGAAGUGACGGCUAAAUACGUG